rnacentral:rRNA from 1 species
UCUACGGAAGGCAGCAGGCGCGCAAAUUACCCACUCCUAGAACGGGGAGGUAGUGUCGAAAAAUAACAAUACCGGACUCUAAGAGGCUCGGUAAUUGAAAUGAGUACAGUUUAAAACCCUUAACGAGGAUCUAUUGGAGGGCAAGUCUGGUGCCAGCAGCCGCGGUAAUUCCAGCUCCAAUAGCGUAUAUUAAAGUUGUUGCAGUUAAAAAGCUCGCAGUUGGAUCUCGGGUACUAGCAUGUGGUACGCUUUACUGCUGUUACUACAUGUCUGGUCCUAAUCAAUCGGUUGGCCGUUGAUGCCCUUCAUUGGGUGUUUUCGGUAGCCGGUACGUUUACUUUGAGAAAAUUAGAGUGCUUAAAGCAGGCCAUACGCCUGAAUAAUGUUGCAUGGAAUAAUAGAAUAGGACCUCGGUUUUAUUUUGUUGGUUUUGUAGAGCAUUGAGGUAAUGAUUAAUAGGGACAGACGGGGGCAUUCGUAUUGCGGUGUUAGAGGUGAAAUUCUUGGAUCGCCGCAAGACGAACAACUGCGAAAGCAUUUGCCAAGAAUGUUUUCAUUAAUCAAGAACGAAAGUUGGAGGUUCGAAGACGAUUAGAUACCGUCCUAGUUCCAACCAUAAACGAUGCCAACUAGCAAUUAGCUGCUGUUAAUUAAACGACACAGCUAGCGGCUUCCGGGAAACCAAAGUUUUUGGGUUCCGGGGGAAGUAUGGUUGCAAAGCUGAAACUUAAAGGAAUUGACGGAAGGGCACCACCAGGAGUGGAGCCUGCGGCUUAAUUUGACCCAACACGGGAAAUCUCACCCGGCCCGGACACUUAAGGAUUGACAGAUUGAGAGCUCUUCCUUGAUUCGGUGGGUGGUGGUGCAUGGCCGUUCUUAGUUGGUGGAGCGAUUUGUCUGGUUAAUUCCGAUAACGAACGAGACUCUAGCCUGCUGAAUAGUACGCCGAUCUUUUGUCGGCGCGUACUUCUUAGAGGGACAAGUAGCGGUUAGCUACACGAAAUUGAGCAAUAACAGGUCUGUGAUGCCCUUAGAUGUUCGGGGCCGCACGCGCGCUACACUGAAGGGAUAAGCGUGUUUUUCCUGCUCUGAAAAGAGUGGGUAACCCGCUGAAACCCCUUCGUGAUUGGGAUCGGGGCUUGAAAUUAUUCUCCGUGAACGAGGAAUUCCCAGUAAGCGCGAGUCAUAAGCUCGCGUUGAUUACGUCCCUGCCCUUUGUACACACCGCCCGUCGCUACUACCGAUUGAAUGGUUUAGUGAGAUCCUCGGAUUGGUCCGGAAGUGACCGCAAGGUUGCCUCUAGGUUCUGAGAAGACGAUCAAACUUGA